UCCUGGCUCAGAACGAACGCUGGCGGCGUGCCUAACACAUGCAAGUCGAGCGCGAAUGGAGCAAUCCUAGUAGAGCGGCGCACGGGUGCGUAACACGUGGAUAAUCUGCCUGGGUGUCUGGGAUAACCAGUCGAAAGAUUGGCUAAUACCGGAUAAGCCCCCGGGAGCUUCGGCUCUUGAGGGAAAAGGUGGCCUCUGUAUACAAGCUAUCACAUCCAGAUGAGUCCGCGGCCCAUCAGCUAGUUGGCGGGGUAAUGGCCCACCAAGGCAACGACGGGUAGCUGGUCUGAGAGGACGAUCAGCCACACUGGAACUGAGACACGGUCCAGACUCCUACGGGAGGCAGCAGUGGGGAAUUUUGCGCAAUGGGCGAAAGCCUGACGCAGCAACGCCGCGUGUGUGAUGAAGGUCUUUGGAUUGUAAAGCACUUUCGACCGGGACGAAAACCCGUUGGCUAACAUCCAACGGCUUGACGGUACCGGGAGAAGAAGCACCGGCUAACUCUGUGCCAGCAGCCGCGGUAAUACAGAGGGUGCAAGCGUUGUUCGGAAUUAUUGGGCGUAAAGCGCGUGUAGGCGGCUUUGCAAGUCGGAUGUGAAAGCCCUCGGCUCAACCGAGGAAGUGCGUUCGAAACUGCAGAGCUUGAGUACCGGAGAGGGUGGCGGAAUUCCCCAAGUAGAGGUGAAAUUCGUAGAUAUGGGGAGGAACACCGGUGGCGAAGGCGGCCACCUGGACGGUCACUGACGCUGAGACGCGAAAGCGUGGGUAGCAAACAGGAUUAGAUACCCUGGUAGUCCACGCCGUAAACGAUGAGAACUAGGUGUCGUGGGUGUUGACCCCCGCGGUGCCGUAGCUAACGCAUUAAGUUCUCCGCCUGGGAAGUACGGUCGCAAGACUAAAACUCAAA
rnacentral:rRNA from 1 species